AGAGUGAACGCUGGCGGUAGGCCUAACACAUGCAAGUCGAACGGCAGCACAGUAGGAGCUUGCUCUUACGGGUGGCGAGUGGCGGACGGGUGAGGAAUACAUCGGAAUCUACCUUUUGGUGGGGGAUAACGUAGGGAAACUUACGCUAAUACCGCAUACGCCCGUUCGGGGGAAAGCCGGGGACCAGCAAUGGCCUGGCGCUGAUAGAUGAGCCGAUGUCGGAUUAGCUAGUUGGUGAGGUAAUGGCUCACCGAAGGCGACGAUCCGGUAGCUGGUCUGAGAGGAUGAUCAGCCACACGUGGAACUGAGACCACGGUCCAGACCUCCGUACGGGAGCAGCGAGGUGGGAAUAGUU
rnacentral:rRNA from 1 species